rnacentral:rRNA from 1 species
UGUACUGCGCUGGACCUGGGAUUCAGGCUCUGUCGCGGUGUCGAAAGGGUACUCUUUGAGCCAACUUUUCGUAACCGUUCCUGUUUGAACCUAACUCAGUUCGUAGACAUUAGCGAGGGGGAGUUGAACCAACACACCCACUUUCUACACAUGAGCUCAACUCUGUGCAAGACUACCCGCCGAAUUUAAGCAUAUUAUUAAGCGGAGGAAAAGAAACUAACAAGGAUGGCCCUAGUAACGGCGAGUGAAGCGGUCACAGCUUAAUCAAUAAUCCUGCCCUAUCUUUGGGCUUGGAAUUGUAGUCUUGGCUUCUGAAUGGCGCUGGCUGACGGGUAAUUCGAUGGAAAUCGAGGUCAAAGAGGGUGACAACCCCGUUUCUCUGUCGGCGCGGCGCUAUAUUCAGUUGUCUACCGAGUAGCGUUCCUUGGGAAUGGAGCGUGAAGCAGGUGGUGAUAUCCAUCUAAAGCUAAAUAUUGGCGAGAGACCGAUAGCGAACAAGUACCGUGAGGGAAAGAUGAAAAGCACUUUGGAGAGAGAGUUAAACAGUAUGCGAAAUCGUUGGAAGCAAGCGAAUCAGUGGGUUUGAGCACCGUUAUGCNGCGUCGAGUACUCUGUUGCCAUUGAGGGCCUAGCGGCCUUUGUGGCGGCUUGCCAGCACUCGGCCGUGUGAUGAGGUUUUGGUGCUCCGCUUCGGCGAGCCUGCCUGGAUCCGACCCGUCUUGAAACACGGACCAAGGAGUCUAAUAUGUGUGCGAGUAUUCGAGUAAUUGAAACUCCAAUGCGAAGGUAACUCAAAUCGCGUUAGCCCUUCUGGGCGCAUCGCGGGUAGUGUGUCUUCCCUAACAAGAGCACGUAUGUUGGGACCCGAAAGAUGGUGAACUAUGCUUGUGCAGAGCGAAGUCACGGGAAACCGUGAUGGAAGCUCGAAGCGAUACUGACGUGCAAAUCGUUCGUCUGACAUGAGUAUAGGGGCGAAAGACUAAUCGAACCAUCUAGUAGCUGGUUCCCUCCGAAGUUUCCCUCAGGAUAGCUGGAAUCCGAUAUGAGUUACAUGAGGUAAAGCGAAUGAUUAGAGUUCUUGGGGUUGAAACAAUCUCAUUCUAUUCUCAAACUUUAAAUGGGUGUGACGCGGGACUUUCUUAAUUGAAGUGCUGCAUUGAAUCUGGGUUCUUAGUGGGCCAUUUUUGGUAAGCAGAACUGGCGAUGUGGGAUGCUCCAGACGCUCGGAUAAGGUGCCAAAGUACUCGCUCAUUCAGAUACCAUAAAGGGCGUUGAUUGAUUUAGACAGCAGGACGAUGGUCAUGGAAGUUGAAAUUCGCUAAGGAGUGUGUAACAACUCACCUGCCGAAUCAAUUAGCCCCGAAAAUGGAUGGCGCUCAAGCGAGUCACCGAAACCGGGCCUUCGCACUUCUUGACAUAAUGUGCGAAGAGUAGGAGGGCGCGGCGGUUGCGUCAAAGCUUAUGGCGUGAGCCUGAGUGAAGCAGCCGCGGGUGCAGAUCUUGGUGUUAGUAGCAAAUAUUCAUAUGAGAACUAUGAAGACCGAAGUGGAGAAAGGUUCCAUGUCACAUCAAAUUGGACAUGGGUUAGUCGGUCUUAAGGCAAGCCGUAUGGGUUUUCUAUGGCGCCCCUGCGCCGCCUUUGCCAAAAGGGAAUCAGGUUAAUAUUCCUGAACCGCAUGUUGUGGCGUAAAACGGUAACGUAAACGAACCUGGUCACCGUGGCCAAAAUCCCGACAAGAGAUUUCUUUUCUUGUUAACAGCGCCUUGACCCUGGAAUGAGUUUGCCUCGAGAUGGGGUUAAGUCGCGGGAAAAGCAGCGCGCCUUUCGCGCUGUUCGGUGCAUUUUGGACGCGCCUUGAAAAGCCAGGGGAGUGUAUGCGAUCACAUCGUGGCCGUACUCAUAACCGCAUCAGGUCUCCAAGGUUAAAAGCCUCUGGUCAAUAGAACAAUGUAGGUAAGGGAAGUCGGCAAAUUGGUUCCGUAAGUUUGCGAUAAGGAAUGGCUCAUUAGGCUGGGCUGUUGGGCUCUUGUAUGACGUCGUGGUGGCCCUAGGACUGCUGACUGCUCUCACGAGCGGACGGACGGUCCAUGGGCUCUUGCGUCUGACGACAGGAGGUUGGGCCUUCGGGUCCAUAUCCAGCAGCGAUGAACAGCUAAUAGUGAACUGGAGCUGACCACAGGAACCCGACUGUUUAAUUAAAACAAAGCAUUGUGAAGGUCCCAACGGAUGUUGAUACAAUGUGAUUUCUGCCCAGUGCUCUGAAUGUCAAAGUGAAGAGAUUCAACCAAGCGCGGGUAAACGGCGGGAGUAACUAUGACUCUCUUAAGGUAGCCAAAUGCCUCGUCAUCUAAUUAGUGACGCGCAUGAAUGGAUCAACGAGGUUCCUACUGGUCCUAUCUACUAUCUAGCGAAACCACCGCCAAGGGAACGGGCUUGGGAGUAACGGCGGGGAAAGAAGACCCUGGUGAACUUGACUCUAGUCUGACAUUGUGAAGGGGAAUUGGCGGGGUAAAAAAGUGGGAACGUAAGCCCCAGGGAAAUACCACUACGUCGAAUGCCGCUUUAUUAAAUAUUGAGAAAGGGCCAACCCCCGGGAAUUGUCUCAGGGGUAAACCUUGUUUACAGGGCAACCUUUUUUGGGAACCCUUCGGGGGGGGAAGUUUGGCUGGGGCGGCACAUCUGUUAAAUGAUAACACAGGUGACCUAAGAUCAGCUCAAUGCGAACAGAAAUCGCCUGUGGAGCUUAAGGGCAAAAGCUGAUUUGACUUUGAUUUUCAGUAUGAAUCAGAGCACUGAAAGGUCUGGCCUAACGAUCCUUUGGAUUUUCGGAUAUCGAAGCCAGAGGUGUCAGAAAAGUUACCACAGGGAUAACUGGCCUGUGGCGGCCAAGCGUUCAUAGCGACGUCGCUUUUUGAUUCUUCGAUGUCGGCUCUUCCUACCCCUAUCUUGCACAAGGGAUAAAAGGUAAGAUUGUUCACCUUCUAAUAGGGAACGUGAGCUGGGUUUAGACCGUCGCGAGACAGGUUAGUUUUAUCCUACUGUUACAUUUGUCACGCCUAUAGUACGCUCAUUUAGUACGAGAGGAACCGUAAGCGCGCAUAUCCGGUACAUUGGGUUGGUCGAGAGACCAAUGCCCAGAAGCUGCCAUGCGAGGGAUAACAGCUGAACGCCUCUAAGUCAGAAA